rnacentral:rRNA from 1 species
UACGUAGGUGGCAAGCGUUGUCCGGAUUUAUUGGGCGUAAAGCGAGCGCAGGCGGAGAAAUAAGUCUGAUGUGAAAGCCCUCGGCUUAACCGGGGAAUUGCAUCGGAAACUGUUUUUCUUGAGUGCAGAAGAGGAGAGUGGAACUCCAUGUGUAGCGGUGGAAUGCGUAGAUAUAUGGAGGAACACCAGUGGCGAAGGCGGCUCUCUGGUCUGUGACUGACGCUGAGGCUCGAAAGCAUGGGUAGCGAACAGG